GCGGGCGUAGUUCAGUUGGUAGCGCGCAACCUUGCCAAGGUUAAGAUCGAGAGUUCUUGACUCUUCUCCCGCUCCA
rnacentral:tRNA from 1 species